UUGUCUUAGUUGCCAUCAUUAAUUGGGCACUCUAAAGAGACUGCCGAUGACAAAUCGGAGGAAGGUGGGGAUGACGUCAAAUCAUCAUGCCCUUUAUGUCCUGGGCUACACACGUGCUACAAUGGUCGGUACAACGAGAAGCAAGUCAGCGAUGGCAAGCAAAUCUCUAAAAGCCGAUCCCAGUUCGGAUUGCAGGCUGCAACUCGCCUGCAUGAAGUCGGAGUUGCUAGUAAUCGCGGAUCAGAAUGCCGCGGUGAAUGCGUUCCCGGGUCCUU
rnacentral:rRNA from 1 species